UCUGGAGAAGUUCUGCCUGUGGGCAAGAUCAAGGUGCAUUCCAAGGCUGAACCUUAGACAAAGGGCCCCAAAUGACAUCAGAAGAGAACGAAGACCCUAAGGAGUUUCUAGUCCCCACAAUAAGUUCCACUGGACUGGGGCAGCAAUGACAGAAGAGCUGGGAGGAAAAAAACCAGAGGAAGCAGGACUGCACACAUGGUGGAUCAGGUGCAAUGGAAAGAUCUGUGCUCAGUGAAUCCAUUUGAAAAGCAAACCACACAGGCACUUCAGAAGUAUCCAACAUUCAUGAAGCAAGAUGAAAGCUGUCAACUCCUUCAUUAUGGACAGAGAAACCUAAUACUUUCUACAGCCUUGAAAAACAGUACCUAGUAUCUCCAAUAAUCCAGACCAAAAUUCUUCCUCUUCGUGCCCCAUGGCAGAGAUUAAAGUACCUGGAAAUUCCUGUUUCCCUGGAGCAGCCCUUAACCAAUGAGUGCCCAAGGGAUGGGGGAAUAUGGUCAUACCAGCUCCCCUGUCCUGAACCAGACACUCCAGGGUGUGACCUGUGUUGUCUCCAGGGCCUUCUCCCUAAAAGACUCAUCCUGCUACUGUCCUGAGACUUUGCUUGAUAUCAUGUCCUUGCUGGGCUUGCUUCCUUUCUGGUCCUGCCUUUCCAACCUCCUACCAGGUUUCCCGAGCAAACUUCCGAAUAAAUCACAUUCAUAGAAACAAAUCCUUUCAAAGUCAGCUUCUAGGGAGCCCAGCCUAAAAAGGACAUCCAUUCUGGGACACCUCUGGGCCAAAACAGGGGGCUGUGCCCAUUCAUUCAAGGGAACGGUAAUAACUAUCUAGUGACAGAUAUGAACAAUCCACAGACAGGUAACAGAGUCCAGCUGGCCUCACUCACAUGUGAUAAGAAUCAUAAAACUGACCUAUACCUGUAUUUACUCUAUGCCAGGCACAACUCAAUGUUUUACCCACAUUAACCAAUUUAAUCUCACAACAACUUCAUGAAAGGUGGAUAUUAUAUAUUAUAUAUAUAUAUAUUUUUUUAAACCAAAGAGGUUAAGUGACUUGCCCAAGUUUACACAGCUAUUAAGUGGCAGACCUGGAAUUCAGGCCUUCAGAGGAUAUGCUUUAACCUCCAGGCCAGACAUCCUCUUAGCUAAGUACAUUAAUUUGGCCAUUUGAUGGAAAACAGAUCCUAUUUAAUAAUUUCCAACGGGGUCAGUAGUAUUUUAAAGGUGAAAAACUUAUUAGCAGAAUAUUUAAGCUAUAAUUUAAAUUUUAUUUUAAUAUGACAUCUUUAUAAACUUGCAUCCUAAAAUUAAUUACACGCACAUGAGUAUGACUUCCUUUUUCUUUAACUGCAUAACGAAUUUUCCAAAUUGACUCUUAAUUUUUGUUUUCGAGGUACAUAUCUGCUCCUUACUUUUCUACUAGAUUAAAUGACUAGAACUACUUAAUUUUUAGUUCCCAAUAAAAUGUUGUAAUAUCAUAAUAUACUAUGGGCAAUACUUGACAUCCUGGGUGAAAAGAUUUCACUUCAAUAAAUAUAAUGAUAUUGCCUCAACUCAAAAGGUAUCUUUGAGGAGAUUUUGUAUUCUGUUAAUCAGUGACAUCCUAGGGGAAAGAAUGUAACGUUUUUCUGAAAACAUCUUGGUAAUAAAAUGCCAUGAAAUAAAGAAUCCAGAUACAUCACAAAA